GUGCAACAAGUGUACGGCCUCACUGAAGUCAGGAAAAUUCAAGCAGGAGCUUAAAAGGGAUGAUUAUGAUUAACGUGAUGUGAGAAAAUAUUGCCUAAAGAACACCGGAGCAGUUAUAGGACACACUGACUGCCUGAUGAAGCGUGACUGACAAGUUGUUAUCCACUGAACACACCCUGGAAAAUCCUGGAAAAGUUACAUGAAGUUACAAAAUGAUCUUCAUUAGAAAAUAGCAACUGAGCCCAUUAAGUGUCAGGAGGACACCACCCAGACUUCUGUCCAUCCAGAAUUCUCCACAGACAUCUCCCCCUACUGGCCAUUAAAAAGAAUGCAUGUUUAAAGGCACUUCAGAGUCGACUCCAUGCUUUCUGUGGCCUUAAUGAGAGUCUAAAGGGGUAUCAAACAUAAAACCAGGGUGCCAGAAUCAACAUGACAAAGACUCCAAUCCGGCGAACUAGACUGCUUUAAAAAAGGUGAAGGAGGGCAUACAUUUUGGGCUUUUACUGACCUUUCCCAAGGCCUUUCAAACUAUUUAAAGCAAUUGAAUAACUGCUAAACAAUUAAAUGUGAGAGAAAUUCCUGUUACUUCAUAAUCUACAAUAGAACUUCUGUUUUUCACAACUCGUCCACAGUAAAAAAAAGAAAAGAAAGAAAAAUAGAUGUUGUUUGUUAAUAAAACAAAACCCUUUUGGUUUAUAAUAACUAAAAGACAGUCUGGACAAUGGGCUAUCAGACCUUUUCUGUAAUUUCACACGUUUAUUUCUUACACAGUCAUUAACUACUAGAGCAAUUUUCUGUCAUUUUAGAUUAAAGUGGGCUGUAUGGAAAAAUGAGUUUGACAUCCCUGGCCUAAACAAAUAUUAUGCAAAGAUUACAUUAAAAUGACAAUGCAUACAAAAACAAAACAAAACUGCAAUACAAUAAAAAAAUAAAUAAAUAAACAAGAGUAUUGACACAGCUGCCAAAACAUAGGCUACGUCUGCACUAAUCCGGAUAAAUUUGAAAACUGCAUUUUCUAAAAACGCUCUGCAUCCACACUAUCGUUUUCAUCCUCACAGAAAACACUUAUGGUCCUGUACUGCGCAUGCGUGAAACGUAAGACGAUUUGACCUGUGUCAUUUCCGUCUGCCAUUUAUUUACUUUCCAAGUUAUUAGAACGUCUCGGCACAAUGUCGAGGAAAAGCGCCGAGUUUUAUCUGGAGCUACCUGGAGCAUGUACAAACUGAUAUUAAUCUUUAAUAGGGCUGUCAAAAUUGAGAGUAAACCAAACAACUCCUGUACAAUGCCGUCCCCUG
ensembl:lncRNA